rnacentral:rRNA from 1 species
UACGUAGGGCGCAAGCGUUGUCCGGAAUUAUUGGGCGUAAAGAGCUCGUAGGCGGUUUGUCGCGUCUGCUGUGAAAACCUAAGGCUCAACCUUGGGCUUGCAGUGGGUACGGGCAGACUAGAGUGCGGUAGGGGGUGACUGGAAUUCCUGGUGUAGCGGUGGAAUGCGCAGAUAUCAGGGAGGAACACCGAUGGCGAAGGCAGGUCACUGGGCCGCAACUGAC